rnacentral:rRNA from 1 species
UACGUAGGUGGCAAGCGUUGUCCGGAUUUACUGGGCGUAAAGAGCGCGCAGGCGGUCAGAUAAGUCGAAUGUGAAAGCCCCCGGCUCAACUGGGGAGGGUCAUUCGAUACUGUUCGACUCGAAGGCAGGAGAGGGAAGUGGAAUUCCCGGUGUAGUGGUGAAAUGCGCAGAUAUCAGGAGGAACACCGGUGGCGAAGGCGGGUCUCUGGGCCGUAACUGACGCUGAGGAGCGAAAGCAUGGGGAGCGAACAGG